CAGUCGCUUUAAAAGCGGAGAGUUUCUUCCCUUUUCAUCAAACUCUGCUCCAAGAGUUCCUCCAGAUUAAGAUGUUCAACUCCUACUCUGUCUACGUAGCUCUUGUGGUUCUUUUGAUGGUUGCCAUUGCUGUGGCAAAUGCUGACCCAGCAGGAGGUGGAGAUUGAGCUGGUGGAAAAUGAUGACGUAUGCAUUGCAUAUAUAAGGAAACAUUAUGCAGCAAAAAUGGAAAACUUCACUGCAAAAAAAAAAAAGAAAUGAACUCAUUUUUCAUAAAACCAAACCUUUUGAUUUACAUUCAAGAAAGAUUGCAUUAAUUCAACUUAAAUCAGAAAUGAAAAAUUGUUUAAAACCUUACAUUUAUGUUUAACAGUCCAAUAAAGAGUAUUUUUGUACAUUUUUUCUUCUGGUUUGCAGAAUAAAAAGUAAAAUUGUCAUCAUUUUUAAGUGAAAAAUAAAUUCAU